UAACCAGAUUAAAUACAUUUUCCAGAGUUCCAAGAUUUACUUUCAGAAACAGCAACUGACAUUUCCUUAAAAAAAUAAAAAGGGGAGAGGAGAAAGAAAACCAUCCCUGAGCUGACAGAAUGCAACAGUAGGAGGCAAGCAUUCAGCUGGCAGUUACUUACUUCCUGGCAUACAAUUUUAAUUAAGGAGUCAGCAUGUCUGCUACACAAGCACACAGGAGGCAGUAACUAAAAAUGACUGGGAAAAUGUCCAUGGAUAAAAAGAGCCAGUCUUCAGGACAUAGAGGCUGAAUCAUAUCCUGUACUUCCAACAACCGUUAUUAAUCACACAAAUAUCUUUCCAAAGAAGUACUGCAAGAUCCUUCAUUGAAAUCUCAUUGUUGGCUGUUGCUUUCUCCACUGGCAAAUACUCAGAUGAAGCACUGAGAAAUGAAAAGGAGGGAGUUCAUACACACCUGCCUUGCUCUAUAUCCAUAUAUGUCAAUCUGAAAGGGCUGGGACUAAAAAUAAUUGGUGAAAGAAAAGCAAAUUAAUAUGAUAUGACUUAAAAUUAGGGCUCUGAGUUCUGGGGAGAAAAGAACUGGUCAGCUAAUCUCAGACUUUCUGUCUUUGUGUCACUUCCACUUAUUAAGAGUUUUUCGGCUGACAGGUAUGCAAUUUAUGCUUAUAUUUGAAUAAAAAAUUGUAGGGUGAAUGUUAGAGAAGUACAAUGAAUUCAGAUGACUGAAUCAAAAGUUCUUUCAACUUUUUUGUUUGUUUCUAUUAGUGCCUUUGAGUAGGCUCAUUAUGGGUUGAAAAAUUAUUUCUGAGAAAAUGUAUGUGACUUAGGAUGAAGGACUGUAAAAUCAGUCACGAAUACCUUUAUUCUGUUGAGUUGCUUUCACGAAUCAAAACAGAUGGAACUGUUCAGAAGAAGUUUGGACCACAAGAGCUGCAUGAGGCUGUACAUGGUCUGUGUGUUCACUCUCUCCAUAGUGCCAGAGACCAGAUCAAAAAGGCUAAUGUCAACACUUAAGAUUUUGAUGUCUUGCUUGCAUGAACAAAAUUCAUGAGAGUAUUUUCUUUCUUUUUUUUUUUGUCUUAAGUUAACCUAUUUUCUCUUACUGAGCAGAAGAGAAAAUAUCUUAGUUGUUUUUUUUUUCAUAACCCUGCACAAUUCAGACACUGAUAGAACAGCCUGAAGAUCUUUGUAAUUUGAACCUACUGACAAUGAUCACUUCAGGAGCCUAAGCUCUUUGAAAAUUGCCAUAGUUUACUGACUGACAGUUGCUUCUCCUAUCUGUCUUAAACUGCAAAAUGCCCUAAAGGAAUUGCAGAAAGGGAAGCAUGAAGACUGAGUGAUAAGCUCUGUAUCACUGCAGAAUUGCCAGGAGAGUAUUUAUAGCCAAAAAAGGAGAAGUUAAUAACCAGUAGCUAUCAGGCUACUCAUAUUCGCUCCCAGACCACAACCAUGACUGUCAGUACCAAUGGGUCAUUGUCUGUACAACCUCUGCAACCUGCUGGUCCAUGAGGGAAACUUUGGGUUGAUGACAUUUGCCACCAGGUUUAAUGAGCUGAUGUUUCUUGGUUCUUUGUAAUAAAUAACUUGGUGCACUAUUUUGAAGCAGGCUAAUUCUUCAGCCAUCUCACUGCUAAAUAAGCUUUUGCCAGUCUCUCUCCCUUUGCUCUGGAAGGAGCCACUUCAGAGGUUGGAGGUACGAAGUCAAAUGAACCUUCUGGGGAACUUUCCUCCUCUGCUUUUCUGAAAUGCUUUCUAAUUCACUAGGCAAGUGAAUUAGUUGUAACACCUACACCGUAGCUGGCUGAAAUGUAGUGAGAAUUUAGUGUAGAAAAAAUCUUCACUCAGUUUCAAUACCAGACUUUCAAAUCUCUCAACUCCUACUUCAGCCUGUAAUUUUGAUUGAUGAAUCUCAUAUUUUGAUUUCCUUUGAACAGUGACCAUGGCUUCCAAGGGGAAGUAUUUACCUUGUACACGUAAAGAAGGGGCCAAUGUUCAAAAGCAACUACAGAACUGUUCUUAAUCAACUCAGCUGAAACCAGCAGCAUGCCUUAGUCUGUCUAUAUAAUUGCACAUGAAGACAUGAAAAAAAAUUUUAGAUGAAAUAAAGCUGCCUUCAGGCAGUUUUACUUUGCAAUGUAAGAGGAGAUUCAACUGAUUGCUAUAUUGCAGACAGCAUGGUUCCUUGCUGCAUGGCAGGGAUAAUACGUAUUUUCAUAUGGAUGGGCUGAUCUUGAUUAAUUUAUUUGUGAUUGAAAUCUCAUGUAGGGCUCUGGAGACAUCAGAACUGUUACUGCCAGGCCAGGCCACAACAUGGUUACCUAAGCAUGUGCUCAAACGUAUGAUCAUUCACCGCAUCAAAUCAGUAGCUGCUCAGAGAUAAUGGUUCUUGCUGCAGAGGGCAGCAGGAGGAAGCUCAGGCCUUGUAGGGCUGUGAUGAGGGCAGAGGAGAGGAUAUGUCCACCUCUCAAACAAAGUGUGCAGAGAGAAAAGAGGGGAAAGAAAAAAGAGCCUGGAGAAGAGCUCCCAAUAGUGUAUUCCUAUGCAUAUUGAUUUUUUCUUUAGAACACAUCCACAGCAUUUAUGAAAACAUGGAAAAUGCUCCUCGGCAAACAUUAGCCACUUUCUGGAAUUUUCUAAUGGAAAGGAGUCUGGGCUUUCAAAUUUAUAAAAUGUAAUGUCAGUGUGAAAGAGCCAUUUCUUUCCCUUUGAAAUCCAGUUAAAAAAAGUACCACCCUCGUCUCCAAUUUGAAUCUGCAAGAAUGCCCCUUUGGGGGAUAUUCCAUGAUUUUACAUGAAUUCCUCUGUUUAUUUCAAAUUGCUUUCUUGAAACCCCUACUAUGAAAUGUAGUGGGUGGAGGUAGAGAAACAUGCAGCAGGGCAUAUCUGCCUCUAGCUCCAGAUAAUUAAAUAUUUAAAUAUCAAUUCAGGGUGGAGUGUUGUUGUUUUUUUAUUAUUAAGUAUAUUAUUUGUACUAAGUGUGCAAGCAUCCCAGAGGCUGGCCAAGAACAGAAGCAAGAUUAAAACACACAAGAGAGACAGCAAACGAAAUAAAUAGGAAAACAGGAGAAUAAGUGCCUCUGGACAUCAUUUUACAUUUUUUAGAUAAGUUUUGGAAACAUAUUAACUCAUUUUCCCCCAUACUUAUGUAGCUGCAGUCUCUGUGAUGGUGUGGAAAGCAAAAACAGCUGAGUGACAUAGCCUUGGAGUUUAAAAAUGUUACCAAUACUACUGAAAGAGAACAUAUCAUUUUACAGGUACCUGUUGGGUGGCUUUUUUUUAAAGCAUUCAUCCUGUCUGGCAGCUGGCUCUCCUACAGCAUAGGUAAAAUUUAAAAGAACAAAUACCAUGCUCUUCAAAGUAAACCUAUUCAUUAUAAACUGUGAGGAAAACACUUGGAUAGGUUCUCAAAUAUGAUGAAUAAAUUAAGUUACUCUUGGGUAUGUCUAAUUUAUGUUAUCUGUAAACUUGAAUGGUACAACUGUAGCACUAAAAGCUCAAUAGACUUUAUCUUGUCUGGUAUCACUGGCAUCUGUCCAGUAAAGCACUCACACAUGGCUUAAUUUUAAGGACACGAUGCCCUGGUUUCAAGCUGUAGUACCCAGAAGCAUAUUGGAAUAAUUCAGUGAUAAGCAUUUUGAAAAGCCUUGCGACAAAUACAAACCUGCUGCUUCUUAAAGACACCUAUAAGUAGUUGACUCAAAUAUGUUAUUUUACCAGUAUGUGUUGAAGAUACAGCUAGAAUAUUCCUUUUCUUUCUAGCUUUUUUUCCCUAGUGCUAAGCACAUUUAGCAGAAUUGUUUUCAGUUUAACAUUGAGAUAAAUAAUAAUUCACUUCUUUUGAAUCUGUAUUUUAUAAAGAGAACAGGAUAAAAUGGAAGGCUAAUGUGCAUUUCUGAGAUGUCAGUUUUUCCUUGCUGUUCUUGCUGAAAUAUAGCCACAUCUUGUCAAAUUAGGAUUCCUGGAGAUUCUGUCUGUGAAUACAUGUUUAAUUCUUUCACCUUGUUAUGAACAUAUUAUUAGACUUUCAUAUCUGUCAUUUACUUACCACAAAUGCCAGCAGUUGCUUUUCCUCCCCCAGCUUUCUCUUUUUUUUUGGUAAAAGGAUAUUUUGCUCCUCCAGCUUGAAUAUAAACGACUAGAAUAACAACAAAAAUGCAUCCUGUCGCAGCAUUUGAAUUUAUGUCCAGCAAAACUCAUGAUUUAGAACAUCUUCCUUUAUCUUAACACAGAACAAUGGAAGAGCCAUGCCUUUCCCAUGAUUAAUAAGGGUUGUGAGUGUUAAGUGUAUUGAAGGAUAAACUCCUGUCUCUAAAAUCUGAGAGGGCAGGCAAGACAUUUUUUUUUUUAUUAGAAAUCACCUUUUGGCCUUAAAUUGUACCUUAACAGUACUUCCACUCAGAGGCUGACCAAGUAGCACAAGCUUAAAUUCUAGGAAAGCAAUCAUCCUUCCUGUUACACAAAGUCACUGCUUUGUUACAAAAUGAAACUGUUCAUUUAAACUGUUUUCUGUGGAUAAACUGCAUUUAUUCACAAAAGUCUUAGUUAGUCACUUAUGAGACCUUUUUGGAUGGUCAUUUUUGCAACGGCCAAUUUCAUUUGGUACCUUGUCUUCAAGAGUUGUUUCAGGAAGACAGUAUCUUCAGUAAGUCGUAACUCUUUUUUGAUCUCCACAUGCUAGCAAUUUGGUGUGUGAGGAUUUGUCCUGAUACCAGCUGGCAUGGCUGAGAGUCACAUGAAUGGGGAAGCAGUGAUGACCAAAUUAGCUGUUAUGAGGACUACUGGAAAUUUGGAAUUACGGACUGCAUGGCAUUUGUGUAUAAUGUAGCACUCCUGCCUUGGAGACAUUUGAACAAGAUGGGUCAAAUCCCAAACCAGCCUCUGGAGGGAUGUCUGCAUAAUUGCUUCCUUCUUUGUGCAUGUGUAUGAACAUCGCCUUCAAAAUAAAGGAAGUGUGAUAGUACAGAGCAGCGGUUUGUUUUUAUGAAGAAAAAGAAAUGCUUGCAAAAUGAACUAGCUAGGAAAGCCAUCCAGCAGAGAAGCUUACAGAAUUGCUUGUUUUAGUUGCUAAGUGGGGAUUUGAGGUUUUGUUCAUCUAUGGUGUGCUUCUGAAAAGCUUCCACACUCCACCCUGAAGUUGGAUGCACUUCAUAAUGCUGGACAAUGAUGCGAUGUACCACUUUGUAUUACCCAGAUAGGGGAGAAUUUGUAUUUUGCAUACAGAUUUAACAAAAAAGAUGCACAGGUUUCAACAUACCACGUACCUUCUUAUGAGGUUCAUAAAUCUCCAUUUUCUUUGACUUUUGUCCUUGAUCCAACAAAAAUAUUAAUUCUAAUCCUAAUAAUAAUGAGCAAUUUAUUUUCACUGCCAGCAAUCUUCAUAGAAGAGAGUGGGUUUUUCCUGUUAUCUUCAGUAGCAUUGAUACAGACCGAAAACAAAUGAUACAGGAAGGCUGAGCUUGUGGUUAGCAUGAGACAGUAUCAAAACAAUGAAGGGAAGCCCAUGCCUCUUACCUUUCAGCUGGUACACUAAACUUCUGCAAUUGAAUGCUUUCAGUGAAAGCUGGGCGAUGAGUGCCAUGCUGCUAAAUGAAUUUAAUUUAUUAAUGGGUCACAAACAUGUUAAACAAUUUCUGAUGUGAAUACAAUUAUAGCUGAUUAGGUGAUGUUGCAUAGGCUACUGGACCACGAUUAGCUGAGGAAAUGCUAAUUAAAACUGAACUAAAAAAGUU